GAGGGCGGGGCCGGCGGCACUGGGCGGGCGUCAGCCAGCGAGCAACCGCAGCCGCAUUCCCUGAGCCGGGCGCCAGCACCGCACAGGUCUGAGUCUGGCACCCUGGCCAUGUGCAGCCCUGAGGAGGAGGCCUUGCUGCAGCUGGAGGAGGUCUUCUCAGUCACCCUUGACCAUAUCAACAACCUUGUCCUCCAACCCCUUCUCAAGGCUGCUGCAGAGCCCUCAGACCCCUGGGGCAGAGAGUGCCUAUCCCUCCUACAGCAGCUGCACAGGAGCUCCAGGCGGCUGUGGGAGGUGACGAAGGAAAGCCUGCACUCACUGCAGGAGAGGCUGCACCACCCGGACUCCUUUGGUCUGGAAGCCCUAUUGCUGCUGCACAGCGCUGACCACAUCCUGCAGAUCCACAUAGAGUACAUCGAGUCCUACACAAGCUGCGUGGUGGUAAAUGUCUUUCAGAAGGCAGCAAAGAGAAGGAGCGAGUACUGGCGGGCCCAGCGGAAGAUGCUGCAGCAGUUCCUGUCAGGCAUGAGCUCAGCGGGCUCGGUGGGCACAGUGCUGGUACAGGCCCUCCACCAGCCCCUCGCCCAUCAUGUGCAGCAGUAUGUGUUCUUCCUGCUGAGCCUUGCGGACACCAUUGGAGAGCAUCACCCCUCCCGGGAGCUGGUGGUGCAUGCAGCUGAACUCUUUGGGAACCUGCAGUCCUUCAUGAGUCAGGAGCUGGACCAGGCCAUGGCCACACAGGCUCUCCGGCACACCCUGAGCAGCCGGGUCGGGGAUGUGCUUUGCACCCCAAGUCGCCGACUCUUGCAAGACAGCCAGGACAUACCCGUGACAGUCACUCCACUGAGGUCAGAGCGUGUGCUGCUCUUUGAUGAUUCCCUCGUCCUGCUGCAGGGCCACAGUGUCCACACCUUUGAUCUGAAGCUGGUAUGGGUAGAACCUGGGCAGGACGGGUGCAUGUUUCACCUCCUCACGCCUGAAGAAAAGUUCUUCUUUUGCUCCAAGGACCCUCAGGGCCGGGUGGUCUGGCAGUGGAAGGUUACUCAGGCUGUGUGCCAGGCCUUGCGUGGGAAGAAGGACUUCCCAUUGCUGGGUGCAGGCCUGAAACCUUCUGAAACCCCCUCCUGCCGCUGUGGAGCAUACACCUUCCUCUCGGAGGGCCGCUUCUGCCAGGCCACCUACGAGGGCGAGUGGUACUGGGGCAAGCCCCAUGGCAAGGGAACCCUGAAGUGGCCAGAUGGGAGGAAUCACGUGGGGGAAUUCUGCCAAGGCCUGGAGCAUGGCUUUGGCAUCCGCCUGGUACCCCAGGCCUCUGAGGACAAGUUUGAUUGUUACAAGUGCCACUGGCGGGAAGGCAGUAUGUGUGGCUAUGGUAUCUGUGAGAAUGGCACCAGCGAGGUGUACAAGGGCUACUUCCAGGAGGGUCUGCGGCAUGGAUUUGGGGUCCUCGAGAGCACCCCACAGGCUCCUCAGUCCUGCAGGUACACAGGACACUGGGAGAAGGGCCAGAGGAGUGGCUAUGGCAUCGCAGAGGACAGUGACAGGGGUGAGCGCUAUAUUGGCAUGUGGCAGGCUGACCAGCGCCAUGGACCAGGGAUCAUAGUCACCCAGGCGGGCGUCUGCUUCCAGGGGACUUUCCAGGCGGACAAGAUGGUGGGCCCAGGGAUUCUUCUCUCCGAAGAUGACUCCUUGUAUGAGGGCACCUUUACCAGGGACCUGACCCUUCUGGGGAAGGGCAAGGUCACCUUCCCCAAUGGCUUCACCCUGGAGGGCUCUUUUGGCAGCGGGGCAGGAGGAGGAUUGCACACCCAGGGUGUACUGGACACAGCUGGCCUCCCUCCAGACCCAGGCAGCACUCGUAAGAGGCAGCUGGGUCUGGGCGCCUUCCCUGUGGAGAGCCGCUGGCAGGGCAUCUGUGGCCCCUUCCAGGACUUUGUUCGUGCUGGCUGCCCUGGGGACCUGCAGGAGGCCCUUCUCGGCUUCCACGUGCAGAGCUCAAAGGAGCUGCGCAAGUCCCAGGAGUAUCUGUGCUGCGAGAGGACCCACCCCGAGGACCACACAGGCAGAAUGGAGGACAUCCUGGAGGAGCUGCUGCAGCACCGGGAGCCUGAGGCCCUGCAGCAGUGCCUCAGGAAGGCUCUGACGAACUCACUGCACCCCCUGGGAAAGCUGCUUCGGACCCUGAUGCUGACCUUCCAGGCCACAUACACAGGCAUCGGGGCCAACAAACACCUGCAGGGGCUGGCACAGGAGGAGGUGAAGCAGCAUGCCCAGGAAAUCUGGGCUGCCUAUAGGGGUCUGCUGCAGGUUGCCUUGCAGCGCAAGGGCCAGGCCUUGGAGGAAGCUGAAGAUGCAGAGACAAGGGACCUGCAGGUGCAUGGAUUGGUGCUACCCCUCGUGCUGCCCAGCUUCUACUCAGAGCUUUUCACUCUCUACUUGCUUCUUCAUGAGAGGGAGGACAGCCUGUACAGCCAGGGCAUCAUCAGCCUGAGCCUCUUCCCCGACACCAAGCUGCUUGAGUUCCUGGAUGUGCAGAAGCACCUAUGGCCCCUCAAGGACCUCACGCUGACAACCAAUCAGAGAUACUCCCUGGUUAGGGACAAGUGCUUCCUGUCAGCCACUGAGUGUCUGCAGAAGAUGAUCACCACGGUGGAUCCCCGGGAGAAGCUGGAGGUACUGGAGAGGACCUAUGGGGAAAUUGAGGCCACUGUGUCACGAGUGCUGGGCCAGGAGUACAAGCUGCCCAUGGAUGACCUGCUGCCACUGCUAAUCUACGUGGUGUCACGUGCCCGGGUGAUUCUUCUCCAGAAUCCAGCACUUGGGAGCUGAGAUCCACCUGAUCCGUGAUAUGAUGGACCCCAUCCACACAGGAGGCCUGUAUGACUUCCUGCUCACAGCCCUGGAGUCCUGUUAUGAGCACAUCCAGAAGGAGGACAUGAGGCUGGACCGCUUGCCCCGCCGCUGGGACCUCAGGGAGCCAUGGUAGCUCAGCUUCUCCUGGACAAGCUGCAGAACUGAGAGGGGCCGCCAUGGAGUUCCCGUGGAGCAAGCAUGGCCCAUCGUGGUCCUUGUGGCCCAGGAGGCAGAGGCAGGAUGGGCCCUGGAGGAAGGCCUUGGAGGGCAUGAGCAUUUAGUUUCUGACCUGAUUGGGAUGAGGGUGAGGCUGACUGGUGUGGCCCCUGAGCUGGUGGUUUUCUCCCCCACCCAUCCCCUGCCACUCUCUAGGCCACCCUCGGGUGACCCCCUUGACCUAUAGCAGCUCAUAGGCUUGCCUGGCCUUGCCUCUAGGUUAUCGAGCCUCUCUGGGCCUCAGUGCUGCCAUCUGUACCAUGGGGACUAGGUGGUCUGUAAAGGCCUUCCAUUCAUCUUGCUGAAUUCUUGUGUCCUUCCGGAAGUCUGACUUUGUUCUUCUGGGUUGUAACUGAAGUUCUUGUGUCGCA